rnacentral:lncRNA from 1 species
GCAGGUUUUAUUUGACCUUGACCUCCUUGUCACGGUUCAUUGCUCAGUGUUACCUUUUUGCGUUUUGGUAUGUUUUUUUAAACUACAAGCAAUAGGUAAACUAUAUUUGUUGUAUGGAAGAAUUGUUAGCUGUGCAUGUCUGUCUGGCAUCAUUCAUCUUACCUUAUCCUCAUUUUCGUAUGGUUCAUUUCUCAAUGUUUAGUUUUCUUGAUGAAUGUUAAGUUUAUGUGACAGUUGUAAUCAUGGUAAUAAAACUUUAUAUUUAGGACUAUCAACAUAAUAUCAAUGAUUAGUAAAGAAGGCGAGAC